GGCUCCCGCUCCAGUCGCUCGUUAGCCUCGAAAUCGACCGGUUCGCUUUUUCGUCGAAAUACAAAAAAAAACAUCCGAGUUUAUUCAUAUCAACUCUUUUUCGCUCUCUUCCUUCUCCGCGGUACGUUAUCAACAAUAAUGGCGGCUAAAAACCAAGUCUGCAUCAUCGGAUCUGGGAAUUGGGGUUCGGCAAUUGCGAAAAUCAUCGGGGCAAAUACAGCGAAACUGGAAAAUUUCGAGGACCGAGUGACCAUGUACGUAUACGAGGAAAUAAUAGAUGGGAAAAAACUCACUGAAAUUAUCAACGAAACCCACGAGAACGUCAAGUACCUUCCGGGUCACAAACUCCCGGAAAAUGUCGUAGCUGUACCAGACGUAGUGGAAGCAGCAGCAAAUGCCGAUAUCCUAGUGUUCGUAGUUCCCCACCAAUUUAUACGUCGAAUCUGCAGCACAUUACUGGGAAAAAUAAAGCCCACUGCCGUUGGUUUAUCUCUCAUCAAGGGUUUUGACAAGAAAGAGGGAGGUGGGAUCGAAUUAAUCUCCCACAUAAUAGCUGCAGAGCUCAAGAUACCCAUGGCUGUACUUAUGGGCGCUAAUUUAGCCUCCGAGGUCGCUGAUGAGAUGUUCUGUGAGACUACUAUAGGUUGCAAGGACAAGGCCGUUGGUACUGUACUCCGAGAUAUGAUUCAGACGUCAUUCUUCCGAGUCGUUGUUGUUGAUGACGUGGACUCGGUCGAGUGCUGCGGUGCUCUCAAGAAUAUCGUAGCUUGUGGUGCUGGUUUUGUCGAUGGUCUGGGUCUCGGCGAUAACACCAAAGCUGCUGUCAUUCGGCUCGGACUCAUGGAAAUGAUUAAAUUCGUCGAUGUGUUCUUCCCAGGGGGUAAAUUAAGUACUUUCUUCGAGAGUUGUGGAGUCGCUGAUUUAAUCACCACGUGCUAUGGUGGAAGGAACAGGAAAGUUUCAGAGGCUUUCGUUAAGACAGGAAAGACAAUCGAAGAAUUGGAAAGGGAUAUGCUAAAUGGCCAGAAGCUCCAGGGACCCUUCACCGCUGAGGAAGUUAACUAUAUGCUUAAGCUCAAGGACAUGGAGAGCAGAUUUCCACUAUUCACAGCCAUCCACAGAAUCUGCGUAGGGGAACUAAAACCGGGUGAUCUCAUUGACUGCAUUCGUAGCCAUCCCGAACACAUGUAAGCUCAAAAAAAAUUAGAAAGAAAAGGUGUCGGAUCAAUCUGGUGGAAAGGGGGUAUCUUUUCUCUGUAAAGUCUCAGCCUACUGUUGAAAGAGAAAAACUAUUUCUUUUCUCUUCUGCUUGGUUUUAAUUCUCGUCGAGCUGCAUCGGCAAUUUCAUUGUUACUUUUAAUGAAUUUUAACUACUAUUUUAUAUAGAUUAUGUAUGUCAGGGAAAUGUUUUCGGAUGAAAAUUCCCUUUUUCAUUUUAUUAAUUCGUUGAGAGAUCUUUUUAGUUGAGAAAAUACUGAUUUCACUCUUUAAAGUUGAGAUAGAACACUCGUGAUGAUGAAAUGAAUAUUUCUGGUUUGACUACAUAAACAACAAGAAGAUUUCAUGUUUUUGCGCAAUUGACGAUCAUAAAUUCGACGAGAUAAUUUUAAUCAAUUUUUGUGUUGUCUGAAGAGCCAUAUCAAUUGUUUCUGAAGAGAGAAUUAUCCUCCAUUCUCUGGCGAAAAGAGGGAGAUUUCUCUCUAGGUAGAAUCUCAAACGGCAAUGCCAAGAGAAAACAUCUUCGUUCCUUGUCUGUUUGCUUUUAAUUUUCGUCGAAUUAACGCGAUAAUUUCCUAGUUACUUUUCAUUAUUUCUCGUUAUUGUUUCUCCAAUGAAAGUUGUGAAUGUAAAUAUGUAACCUAUGUCUGUAGAUUAUGUAUAUUCUGGAAAUUUCGGUUUUUUUCUUUGUUUUAACCGAUUGAUCAAAUUUUUCCAUUGAGAAAUCAAAUGUUUUGAUGGGUUAGAUUGAGAGAGAAAAAUCAUUAUAAUGAAAUCAAUAUUUCAAGUUUAUUUAGUCAGCCUUGUAGAUACAGAAUUCUAGAUUUUCUGGAUCAAUUCUCAAGAUGUAGAGAGGAGGGAGAAUAUUUUUCCCGACGUAGAAUCUCAAAUUCGAUGUUAGUGGAGGAAAAAUUCUGCUUUAAUGUUCUGCUUGCUUUUCAUUUUCGUCGAAUUGCAUCGAAAUUUUCUUUGUUAAUUUUAAUGAAUUUUAACUAUUGUUCCUCCUCUGGAAAUUGUGAUUGUAAAUAUGUACGUAUGACUAUACACUAUGUAUACUAGGGAACAAUUUCUGCAUGGAAAUUCCUUUUCUUCUUUCAAGCAGUUGAUCGAUUUGUCAAGUUAACAAAAAAUGAAUUCACGCUUUAGAAUUGAGAAAGAACAGUAAUGAUGAUGAAAUAAAUAAUUCACGUUUAUUUAGACAUUUUUAUCCAAUUAUCCGUGCAAAAUUCCAAUGGAUCAAUUCUAUUUUAGUUAAUUUCCAUGUCGUCUUAGACGUCACCUUGAUUAUUCUUGGAAGUGAACAUAGAAUGUGAGACAAGGGUUAAGGGAAUUGUUAAAUGAUCUGUUAUUGAUUGACGAAUGUAUCGGAGAUAAAUAUAUGAGUAUAUGGUCUGUUAAGAAA